GACAGAGCGACUUCCCCGGGCAUCGGCGGGCCGGUGGCGAAGGCAGCCAGGAAGGAAAGGGCGGGAGUUUGGUGCUUUCUGGGAGCGGCGCCGGCAGAGCGUGACUUGAAGCCAUCGUUCGGGCACCGGGACGAACAUGCAGCAGGAGACAGGGCGUGCAUCGCAUGUACAUGCGUGCGAGCAUGCGUGUGCAGGGCCCGCAGCCGUGCGGGCAGGCAGGCUGCCAACGUUUGAUUUGACUACUGCUGAGCGUUAAGCUGAUCUUCUCAGACAACUAUCAACAAUCACCCCCAAAUCUUUUUUUUCCUGAGAGGAGGCAAAUCAGAGCCAAGCCACCGAUACCAAACUAACCAAAUAAACUGGAGGGUUUUUACCAGGUUUUCCUACAUGUUGUUGCUGUUACAAAGGACCGACACAUACGGUGAUCUGAGCAACUCCAGACUGGGAGAAUCAAGGUGUCAAUCUUAGAGUCACUAAUUCUUGCAGUCCUUGGAACAUGAUGCUGUUAAAAUCCUCAGCUCAUGGGAUCAAGACAUUUGAAGAGGAGAUGUGGGGAGGAGCGGAGAAAAUUAAGUAGAUUUUUAUCGACCGUGCUGUUAAAGAAAAGUAGGAAAUUUCCUAGAAAGCAUCCUCUGUGAGUUCGGGUGCAGCCGUUUGGGUGUCCUGAUACACAGGAGCUCGUCUUCCUGAUGCCUGCAAUUGCGCCGAGUUACGCAAGUCAACCGACCCAUUAUUGCUCAUCACCCUCCUUCCCAAAUCGAGCGUUGACAGCUGAGACCAGCAGAAGAGCUGAAAGCCCUCCCAGACUCGAGGCGCAGGCACUAAUCAAAGCCACAUCUCGUCAGGGCCAUCCAGUUGGGAAAUCAGACUUCCCUCCCUGUUUCUGGGGUGUUUCAUCCCACAGGACCUCAGAGCUUGUCGGCACUGUUAGGUUGGCCAUUGGAAGUGAGGAGCCUCUUCUGUGGGACAUGGCGUCCAUCUAAAAUGGAGGCUACAUCUUCUAAAAUUAUUGCCUUCAACGGCUUGUUCUCGUGCAGCACCUGAGCGCCUGCCGUAUUGGUACACAUGCGGAGAACAUUUGCAUAAAAUCCUAGCCUUAACAAAAGCCAGCUGGAUUUGGGAGAGUUUCACUUAUUAUUCCCAAUUUUGACCUCAACAGCAACAACAACAUUAGUGAAUUCAACAGCACUAACACCUUGAGGACCACUGACAAAGCUGGCCACAUCCCCACUACUCGAGUCUCUGAGCUCCAGGAGGAGCGUUGCUUUAUCCCUGCUGCCUCCGGGAAAUUGUCCACAGCCCAUGCCAACUCCUCACCCAUGCCUGGGUGAGUUAUUUGGAGGUGUGCAAGUUGACCCACGGCAAAAUUACGCCGAGGACUGUGCUAACAGCAUGAGCAAUUCCAUCGAUUUGAAGUUAAUCGUGUCUCAACGGGACUUUUUGCUUGCUUCACAUGCUGCGAGUGAUUAAUUACCUUCUAGAAGCAAGGCUUGCAAAACCACUUCUUGUGGGGUAGGAGGGCUUUCUUGGUGGCCGCACAAAACGGUUCAUCUCCCCACAGAGACUUCUGGCAAGCCGAGAGCCGCAAGAGGAAGCCGUGGCCGAGCACCGUCUCCUGCAAGCAGCCGACUGCCGGGAUUCAGUGCACCUGCCUUGCUCACCUCUGUUUUGCAGAGCGUAACUUCUUCCAACGUAAAGGAAAAGCUUGAAUUGGGCUGUUGGGAGGAGGUGAAGUUCUUGCAGGCCGUGGUGAGCAGGAGGGCGGUGGGCUGGAGCAUGUGCUUCUGUGCAACCUCUGCUUGGGAGCAGAUUACGUGACCUUCCCAGGCUCAACGCUCGUGACCAGCUGGAGGGGGAAAAACCUCCCAGAUUUACAAGCAGCUAUGAACCCUGCUCGGAUCCAGAGCCACUGCCGUAAACGUUGUGUGGUCAGGGGCUGGUCUGGGGAGAAGGGGAGCAGGUGUGUGUCCACGAAGAAUAAUUUACAUACUUAUUGUUUUCAAGUGAAAUAAUCCCAGCUGUUUUACUUUUUUCAGCGACCUGGUUAUUGCAACGUGCCUGUUCCAGUCACUGACGCGAAAGCUGGUGGUCUGAUCCUAACGCCCUUUUAAUGCAAUUUUGCUGAUUCUCCCAUGCGGAAGCGUACCGGAUGCCGAGCAGGACACUGGGAGGUGCUUGAAAAGAUUAUCCGCAAAGCCGCAUACGGCGAAGCAAAACGUGACGUCAGGAAAGCUUUUUGCAACGGAGUUAUUCGCGGCGUCUCGCAUGAACAGGGAGACCCAGGAAAGCUCCGCAGAGGCGGUGGGAUUCAUCACAUCGGCAUCCGCGGAGGAAGCUCUGACCUACGCAGCUCUCGGCCGCUACUGUGUCGUUUCUAAGUUGCAGGGAAGAUGGUGAUACGCGGCUGUGAUUCCUGGUUAUGCAAUUCAGCCGUUUGCAAUUUUGCUUCCUUCCAAACACCCUCCGGGCUCUUUUCCAUAUUAUAAACAAAACAGCCUGCAACAUUUCACUCAGAAGGCAGAAACCGGUGCCUCGGAUGCUCGCUCUGUGCUGCAAUUCUGCUUUUCUUUUGUAGGGAACGCUUUGAGCAGAGCCAUCUCAGGUGAAAUAAACUGCAAGGAGUAAGCAUGUCUUAAAAAGAAAGCGUGUGCUUCCUUUGGGGUGUUUCAUUUCAAAAUUAAAAGGAGAGU